CAGACACCCGAUCUUGCAAGUCUCUCUUCCGCUGUUCUCCGUGUCUCUGAGUCCAUUCUUUGGGUUUGAAGAGAUUAGAGCACUGGGCUUCCGUCCAGGGAUGCUAAGAGGAUGGGGGUGCAGCCCUCUGGAAACUGCAGUGCUGAGGGUUCUCCUGGCAAGGUAUGGAAUCGCUUACAGGGCCUGGAGGAGGUAUCGCCAGAUCCAAAACCGAACACAUGUGACUUGCCCUGAGGCCGGCUGCUGAGAGGAAGCAAAGUGCGGCGGGACCUGAGAGUGUCUGUGGACAACCAAGGGGACUCCAGGAGGCUGAGAGCGAGGGCUGAGAGGAAGGGGAGGGAAAUGUUAACAGCGGCUUGGAGGCACGAGACCCUUGUCAUGUCCUGGCAAAAAGCCUGGUACCAACGUGGCUUCAAGGAAAAUUAGAAAUCACCUUAAUAAACUCAAUAAGCUACCUACGAAGUUUCAAGACAGAAUAUUCAAAACACCACCUGGCUGCUUCUGGAGGCCAAGGAUAAAAUGCCAGAGUAGCAAGACAUGUUAAAGGCUGGCCUGGUAAAUGGGAGAGGACCAGGGUUGGCUACAUUUGAAAAUAAAACUGCUUCUCCUUGCCUGCCCCCUCCAGCUGGUAAACAAUAAAUGGCUUCCAGGGUUCCAUUUCCAAGAUACACAAAGAAACUCCCAAAAAAACCAUUCUCUCACAAGAAGUAACUAAAUGCUAAGUGAAAUGCAAAAUCACAACCGCCUGAAGGCUGUGGGGAAUAAACACACACAGGCAGGUACUAGACGGGAAUAGGAGUGUGCAGGUGGUGAGUGUUGAUGUGGUGUGGGUCUAAACACACACAGGCAGGUACUGGACGGGAACACGAGUGUGCAGGUGGUGACUGUUGAUGUGGUGUGGGUCUGUGUCCUCACCCAAAUCUCAUGUUCAGCUGCAAUCCCCAGUGCUGGAGGUAGGGCCUGGCGGGAGGUGAUUGGAUCGUGAGGGUGGGGUUCUCAUGAAUGGCUUAGCACCCUCCCCACUUGAUACCACAUGGUGAGUGAGUUCUCAUGAGAUCUGGCUGUUUAAAAGUGUGUGGCACCUCCCCCAGCAAUCUCUCUUGCUCCUGCUCCAGCCAUGGAAGACGUGCCUCCUUCUUUGCCUUCUGCCAUGAUUAUAAGUUUCCUGAGGCCUCCCAAGAAGCCACGCAGAUGCCAGCACCAUGCUUCCUGUACAGGCUGCAGAACCACGAG
rnacentral:lncRNA from 10 species